GAAAUCUAAAAGACAUAUAUCUUUUUGUCUAUAUGAUACCUUUUUUUUAUUGUCGUUAAACAAAAACCUGUGUUUAAAAAUUUGUCACGCGAACAAGAAAGAUCAUAAUUAUGACGAUUAAUGUGAUUGAAUUAUUACUCCCUCAUUAUUUUUAUGAUCCAAAACUUGCCGAUGGAGAGUGCGCGAAAUGAUACAGCGCAAAAGUAACAGAAACAAAUGUCACUUCUAAACAAACGUCCAACUGUUAAAUCAUUCUUGAUGACAUGAAUCAAAAAAAAAAUUCCGCUUGAAAAAGAUACGAUCUGUGAAAUCCAUCGACGUGCGUAAUGUCAUAAUUCGAGUUUUGGAUGUAUACGUCACUAAAGACUAUUUGUUUCCGCUUGCAUCGGGAAAUAUGAAGUAACUGACCCGGUGAGUCAGAGAGAGAUAUAACGUAUACGCAAAGUUCUUGCCAUUUAAGAUAUUAAUCACCGUUUGACCGAAUUGCGGUUAGCGCCACUUUAUUUCUUGUUGUUUCCUAAUAUCUAUCAUAUUUUCAGAGUUGUAAGAAAUUUUCUGUCCUCAAUUAGCAAAUCUCAAAAGCACAUCUAAAAAAACGCAAGACAGUCGAAUCUUAUCUAUAACUCAAUAGUCGCGAUGUUUAACGAAAGGAUCGUGUAACAUUCUUUAUCGCAGUAUUGUAUUAUUCAUAAUUAAAAUGCUGAAAAAAUGCCUAAUGUAAGAUAGCUAUAUACCGCCGGUUUGUCGUGAUACGACAAUGAUUAUAUUUCUCCAUUUUUAUUUUGCGCUGUCACACGAGCGAUUUAUCGCAAGACAUUAAAAAGAAGGAGAACUGAUAAAAAAAAUCCAUUCGUUUCCUUGCAUUCGAGAACUUAGAACACCAAAACUCAAGAGCACCAAGAACACACCGUUAGUUUUACAUUUUUGGGAAAAGCAUAUUCUCUAAAUUUCAUAAAGUAAAACAUUGCACAAGCAGUAGAGUGACAUUUCUACAAAAUUUAGAAAUAUAACACUUGUGUAACAAUUAUGAAAGUACAAACGUAAUAAAAAUGUGAAUAUAAAUGUAAUAAUGCGACUGCCAAUUGUGAAUAUGAAAAUCUAAUAACUAUUAAUUACAAAUUAAAAUAAUAUCAAAUUACGACAAUAAUUGUUUAAAACGCUUUUAAAAAUUAGAUAUCAUUUAAUUAUUUUAAACAACAUAAAUAAUCAGAUAACAAUAUAAAGUAAAAAAUAUACAAUUUAUAUCAUCCAUGAAGAUAAAGCCUUAUCUCAUAUUACGUCUCUUAUUAUAUUUUAUCACUAUAUAUUUAUAAUAAAGUUUUCCGUAAAGUAUCAAAAAUUGUUAGGCAAUGUGUUAACGUUAUUCGUCAUUAACGGAAAGUAAAAUUAAUAUGCGAAUUACAUCCUUCUUCGUCAAUUAACUUUGUCAUAUCCGCGUUAAUGACGCGUUGUACACAAUCGCAUAAAAUAGACGAAGCAAACGGAAUUCCGUCAGAGGGAUUAUCUACAUGUUUCAUACAUAAUUCUAAUCGAUACCGCUGUGUUGUUCCGCAUACGUAAUUAAUCUUAUUCAUCGGGUAAUAUUUCACAGUCGAAGAACACUUCAGUGUCCACAAGUUUUACACGUACAGUAAAAAAGAAUGCAUAAUUCCAAUAAUCCCAAGUGCAAUUCUAAAGCUAUAUUCUUAUUAACAAUAGCAAAAAUAAUUAAUUUAACUGUAUAUUUGUAGCAUUUAUUAAUAUUUUGAUCACAAUGUACUUGAAUUUUUUCUACGAAGUUCGGGGAAAAUCUUCGUGUCUGCCUUUAUUGGGACGAUAACUUUUCCAAUCCUUGAAUCAAGAGGAAGAGGCAAAAACAUCGCGAUAGAUACUAUCCUUAUUCAUUAAAAGCUACUCCAAUAUCUAUAAUAAAAUAAAUAAAGAAAUGUUCCGAAACGGUUGUAAUCAUUGCAUCGGCAGCUCUCUUUACAAUGUAGUUGAACUAAUCUAACAAUGGAGAAUAAUAUUGCGGAAUACAAUUGGUUAUAAAGAACUCAGAAUUAUCUGAUGCAAUUUUAUAAAUUGAAUGUAUUAAAGCAUUUUCUAUUUAUACCUUUACAAAGCGUGAAAUACGUAAUGACAUCUCGCUGCACCUAUCAAGAGAUCUUGCAAAUAGGGUCGCAAGAGAGCUUUCACGUGGAAUAACUUUAAUGCAAAUUGUCUUCAUUACGCGUCUUGCUCGCGAUCUAUUUUGCGAUAAAUCCGUUCGAUACACACGAGUCAUUAAAUCGGAUAAUAAAUGGAAAAAGAGAUUAAAAAAUAUUUAAUCCUUGACGCAAGUCAACACGAAGGUUUCCUAUUUUAUAACGCAAUAUUUAGAAAAUAUCGGACAAACUGUAUUUUAAAGGAAAAAUAACUUGAAAAAAGUAUGUAUUCUUUUUCUAUUUCAAAAUUAUAUGUUUAUUUAUAGGAAAAUUUUUAUAAAUGAGGAAUUAAACUUUCAUCCCAAAGCUGUUGAAUUUCAGAAGAUUCACCCAGUAUUCUUCUAAAAUAAAAGUUGAAUGGAGUUAACAAUCAUAUAAUUUGCUCGGAAAAAAGUAUAUAUAUACAUAUAUAUAUAUUUAUAAUAAAAUCACAAAAUUACGACACAUCUUACUUUAUUAAGUCACGUUAUUAAUAUCAAUAAAAGAAAUACUGUUUCAAAUUUGUCAUAUUAUGUUUUUAAAUUUAUAAUUUAACAAAUUAGCAUUUUAAAUAUCUAAAAAUAUCAACAUUAAAUAAUGUCAUUAAAUGUCUAAAUUAUCAUGUAUCUAAUGAGCAUGUUGUCUUCUUAUAACGUGGAAGAGAUCCAAAAAGAUUUUAAAAAUUUAUAUUUGUACUAUUUUAAUUAUUAAAAACAUAAUAAUUUAUAUCUUUCGUAUAAUAUAUCUAUCAUAUGUAUAUUGAUUCAUUAACUUAACGAAAGACUG